CAGAUUUUGUUUUGUAACUUUUUAAGGUGGGGAGACAGUCAUAGUCAUAAAAUAUGAGGGAGAAACUCAGGUCUCUAAAGGGAAGUCUGUCACACAUGGUUUUCUUUAUAGACUCGAUCAAUGGGCCAACAUUAAUGGCAUGUAUUUCAAUAGGGCCAAGUGUUGGGUUCUGCAUUUUGGUCACAACAACCCCAAGCAACCCUACAGGCUUGGGGAGGUGUGGCUAGAAAGCUGCCUGAUAGAAAGGGACUGUGGUGUGCUGAUGGACAGUCAGCUGAAUAUGAGCCAGCAGUGUGCUCAGGCGGACAAGAGGGCCAUUGGCAUCCUGGCUUGUAUCAGGAAUGGUGUGGUGAGCAGGACUAGGGAAGUCAUCCUGCCCCUGUACUCAGUAUUGGUGAGGCCUCACCUCGAGUACUGUGUUCAGUUUUGGGCACCUCAGUACAAAAAGGACAUGGAGGUACUGGAGCAGGUCCAGAGAAGGGCAACAAGGCUUGUGAAGGGUUUGGAGAAUCAACUCUAUGAGGAGAGGCUAAGGAAGCUGGGGCUGUUUAGUCUGGGGAAAAAGAGGCUGAGGGGAGACCUUAUCGCCUUCUUCCAGUACCUGAAAGGUGCUUAUAGUGAAAGUGGGGCAAGUCUCUUCUCACUGGUGACAAGUGACAGGACGAGUGGAAAUGGCCUCAAGCUGAGCCACGGUAAGUUUAGGUUGGAUGUUAGGAAACACUUCUUUACAGAAAGGGUAGUCAAGUACUGGAAUAGGCUCCCCAGGGAGGUGGUUGAAUUACCAUCCCUGGAUGUGUUUAAGAGCUGUCUGGAUGUGGUGCUCAGGAAUAUGAUUUAGCAGAGGGUUGUUAGAGUUAGGGUACUAUGGUUAGGCUGCGGUUGGACUUGAUGAUCUUCAAGGUCUUUUCCAACCUGGGUAAUUCUAUGAUUCUAUGAUUCUUCUUCAGUGUGUAACUACACUGCUUUGCCAGCUGAGGGAAAGAAAAAGAAAUAUGGUGUGAAA
rnacentral:lncRNA from 1 species